rnacentral:rRNA from 1 species
GGCCGUACCACGGCUGACUUAUGCAUGUACCCGCUGAACCGAGCUGAAUUUUCGCUGUUUGUUUCGAAGCCUUGUAUUCUCUCAACUAACGGCUAUGAAUGGUUUCUAUAGGUGUCUGGAGCAGUUGUAUGAGCGUGACUGUGGUGAUGGACAUUUGAGUUCUUGCGACUAGAAUUAAAGAAGUCUGUUAUGACUCGCCGUACUUAAAAAACUUCAAUUAACGUUUGAUCAAUUUGACUGCACCAGCCGUAGGUGUGCUUAAAGAUUUAUCAAGUCUUGUCGGUGGAUCACUCGGUUCGUAGUUCGAUGAAAAACGGGGCAAAAACCGUUAUUUGGCGUGAAUUGCAGACAUAUUGAACGCUAAAAUUUUGAACGCAAAUGGCACUAUCAGGUUUAUAUCUGUUAGUAUGUUUGGUUGAGGGUCGAUUAAUUCGUAACCUGCAGUCUGCUGUGAUUGUUUUUCCGAUUAGUUACUUGAUUUGAUUGAGUACUUUUUUGGAAUGUGAAUUUUUGAUCGUCUAAUUCGUUUCCUAAUCGAAACGAGCUAUUAUUUAUUUCUGUGCAUUGUAUGUUUGGUGCUUCGGCGCGUUUCUUGCCGACUGAUGUGUACAAACUUAACAGUAUGUAUAUUUUUCAAAGUUGUCAGCGGCCCUUACAGUACUUAACUCGACACAACACGACUCGUUUGUUGAGAAAUUGCGCAAGAAAGAAACUUUUCGUUUUACGACCUCAACUCAAGCAAGAUUACCCGCUGACUUUAAGCAUAUACCCGCUGAACUCUCCGCUGAACUUUACGCAUAUCGCGCGCUAGAACUAAGCUAUACCCCCAUAAAUCUAAG